UUUUGUGGGCAACCUUUCUUGUCAAACCCUGAUCUUGUCAGACCUCAGAAGCUAAGCACAGGUGUGUCUGGUUUAUACUUUGAUAGGAGACUGCUAGGAAUACCAGGUUCCAGAGGGA
rnacentral:rRNA from 1 species